rnacentral:rRNA from 1 species
AGUGAACGCUGGCGGUAGGCCUAACACAUGCAAGUCGAACGGCAGCACAGUAAGAGCUUGCUCUUAUGGGUGGCGAGUGGCGGACGGGUGAGGAAUACAUCGGAAUCUACCUUUUCGUGGGGGAUAACGUAGGGAAGCUUACGCUAAUACCGCAUGCGACCUUCGGGUGAAAGCAGGGGACCUUCGGGCCUUGCGCGGAU